rnacentral:tRNA from 1 species
GUCUGGAUGGUGUAGUUGGUUAUCACGUUAGUCUCACACAUUAAAGGUCCCCAGUUCGAACCUGGGCUUAGACA